CGAGCCAAAACUGCAUAAGGCACCAAACGCUCCUUUGCCUGCACGAGCCAAAACUGCACAAGGCACCAAACGCUCCUUCGCCUGCACGAGCCAAAACUGCACAAGGCACCAAACGCUCCUUCGCCAGCACGAGCCAAAAUUGCAUAAGGCACCAAACGCUCCUUUGCCUGCACGAGCCAAAACUGCACAAGGCACCAAACGCUCCUUCGCCUGCACGAGCCAAAACUGCACAAGGCACCAAAUGCUCAUUCGCCUGCACGAGCCAAAACUGCAUAAGGCACCAAAAUGCUCCUUUGCCUGCAAGAGCCUAAACUGCACAAGGCACUAAUUGCUCAUUUGCCUGCACAAGUCAAAAAUGCACAAGGCACCAAACGCUCCUUCGCCUGCACGAGCCUAAACUGCACAAAGCACCAAUUGCUCCUUCGUUCGCCUGCACGAGCCUAAACUGCACAAAGCACCAAAUGCUCCUUCGUUCGCCUGCACGAGCCUAAACUGCACAAGGCACCAAAUGCUCAUUUGCCUGCACGAGCUGAAACUGCACGAUGCACCAAGUGUUCAUUCGCCUGCAAGAGCCAAAAAUGCACAAGGCACCAAAUGCUCACUCGCUUGCAUGAGCCAAAACUGCAAACUAAAAAAAAAAAAAAAAAGAAGGUCUCUUUGGGAAAGUAUCUGUGCUCGAUCAAGUUGGGCGUCCUCCAAUACGUAAAGCCUAAGCGCUUGAGUGGGUUAUCACCAAGUCAGAGAGAUGGAUCAAACCCAAGCGGUAUAGGACGUCUACGUUCUUUACUCGUCCUCCAUUUACGUAAAGCCUAAGCGCUUGAGCGGGUUAUCACCAAGUCGGAGAGAUGGAUCAAACCCAAGCGGUAUAGGACGUCUACGUUCUUCACUCGUCCUCCACUUACGUAAAGCCUAAGCGCUUGAACGGGUUAUCACCAAGUCGGAGAGAUGGAUCAAACCCAAGCGGUAUAGGACGUCUACGUUCUUCACUCGUCCUCCAUUUACGUAAAGCCUAAGCGCUUGAGCGGGUUAUCACCAAGUAGGAGAGAUGGAUCAAACCCAAGCGGUAUAGGACGUCUACGUUCUUCACUCGUCCUCCACUUACGUAAAGCCUAAGCGCUUGAACGGGUUAUCACCAAGUCGGAGAGAUGGAUCAAACCCAAGCGGUAUAGGACGUCUACGUUCUUCACUCAUCCUCCACUUACGUAAAGCCUAAGCGCUUGAGCGGGUUAUCACCAAGUCGGAGAGAUGGAUCAAACCCAAGCGGUAUAGGACGUCUACGUUCUUCACUUGUCCUCCACUGACGUAAAGCCUAAGCGCUUGAAUGGGUUAUCACCAAGUCAGAGAGAUGGAUCAAACCCAAGCGGUAUAGGACGUCUACGUUCUUCACUCAUCCUCCACUUACGUAAAGCCUACGCGCUUGAGCGGGUUAUCACCAAGUCGGAGAGAUGGAUCAAACCCAAGCGGUAUAGGACGUCUACGUUCUUCACUUUCUUUUGAAGCACCUAAAAAAAAAAAAAGAGGACGACGCAAGCACAGCAAUAGUAUGCCAAUAUUGAGUUUGAUGUUGCAUGGUGGGAGUGCACCCAAAAUAGAAGAUAAAAAAAAAAGAAAAAAAAAAGAAAAAAAAAAUAGAUGAAGAAGGAGAAGAAGACGCCGGCACAAAGAAAGAAUAACAUGCCAAGGGUAGGUUCUUGUGGCUAGAAGAAAGAAGAAAAAUAAUAAAAAAAAUUGACAAGAACAUGAUGAAACAAAGAAUGGGUUCAAGCCUACCAACAAGCAACUCUCACCACUUUGGUUGUUGAGAAUUCGGAUGAUGCAAACUUCAAAGUCGUAGACCUUCUUGCCAACAAGAGGAGUUUUUCUGCUGUUCUAUUUGGUUGAUCUCAAUAUUCAUGAACACAGUGCAAUUUAAAGAAACCAAAGACCAUCAAAGCUCCUAGUAGGGUUUCUCAUUCCUAGUUUAGGAAAGUAUGAGAUUUUGUAUCUUGCUUCCCAAGAUCUUACCAACAUUGGAUAUUAUUAAGCUUAAUAAUAUCACAAAAAAAAAAAAAAAAAAAAAGGGGAAACCAACGUUGGAAAUAGGUUAGAUAUUCUC
rnacentral:lncRNA from 1 species